rnacentral:rRNA from 1 species
GAUGAACGCUAGCUACAGGCUUAACACAUGCAAGUCGAGGGGCAGCAUGAACUUAGCUUGCUAAGUUUGAUGGCGACCGGCGCACGGGUGAGUAACACGUAUCCAACCUUCCGUUUACUCAGGGAUAGCCUUUCGAAAGAAAGAUUAAUACCUGAUAGUAUGGUGAGAUUGCAUGAUAGCACCAUUAAAGAUUUAUUGGUAAACGAUGGGGAUGCGUUCCAUUAGGUAGUAGGCGGGGUAACGGCCCACCUAGCCGACGAUGGAUAGGGGUUCUGAGAGGAAGGUCCCCCACAUUGGAACUGAGACACGGUCCAAACUCCUACGGGAGGCAGCAGUGAGGAAUAUUGGUCAAUGGGGCGAGAGCCUGAACCAGCCAAGUAGCGUGAAGGAUGAAGGUCCUACGGAUUGUAAACUUCUUUUAUACGGGAAUAAAGUAUCCUACGUGUAGGAUUUUGUAUGUACCGUAUGAAUAAGCAUCGGCUAACUCCGUG